CACUAUCAAUCAAGCUUCAUAAAAUCUGUUCAACAACUCAUGAAAAAAAGAGAAGACGAUGAAACAUGUGUUCUGUACACUCAUGCCUUUCAAAAGAGUUCCCUAAAAAACCUUGUUUCGCAUAACUCUGGCGAUGGCCAAGCCUGGGAGCCUUUGGUCGAUGAGGACCAGACUAAGCUGACACUCCCAUGGUUGCAUACAUCAACCAUGCCCUCCCAAGUCGGAUCUACUCAUUCUUAAUGCCAUUUAUAAUCACAUCUACAUACAGGAAAACAUGAGUAUAAUCAAAAAAUGAAGAGGCUGGCAAAGGGCCACAAAAAUAGAGAAGAGGCAUGCCGAAAGCAUAUUCAUGGCAAUGUAAAAAGAAUCAGUUAGUAAGCUCGACAAAACAAAUGGCAGUCUGUAACACCAUUACAUAGGGAAAAGGGACAUUAGUUUUCCAGCAUUGUUCAGUGAUGCAGGGAUAAGGGGAACAUGACAAUAAUAUACGUACAUUCAUAGGCAAAGGUAGACCACCCAAAUAAGGGGAACAUGACAAAGAUGAGACGAUCAACAAACGAACUAACACAACAACACACAAACCAAACACUAUAGAGAAGUCCUCAGCUUGAUCAACCAACCAUUGCAUAAAGAAAAUAUAAAAGGAUGACAGCUAAAGAAAAUAGAAGAAUAUAAGCUUAAGUGGCAAACAAAUAGCUUCCGCACUCACUGCAUAUAGCUAAUUAGCUAUACUAUUAUGUACUAAAAUAAAGAAUAGUCUGUUUGCCUGAAAGCUAUUUUUUUUCUAUCCAUCGCAUCAAAUCGAUUUAGGAUUUAACUCCACAACAACCGAAAGUAUCAGUGUGCGCACAUUUCAGUUAUGUUUCCUAAUAGGCAGCAGGUUUUAGAAGUAUCAUAAGAAACCAGAGAAUGAACUUGCCUGCCUCACCUAUCAUCUGGAGAUUAAUAGAAGGCCAAACCGAUGUUGCCAAGCAUUUUUAGAAUUGGAUCCCAAACAAAUGGGAAAUGAUGCCUAGAAUGAAAAGGCUGCACAAGGCACACAAGAAUAAUCUAAGGCGGGGCAAAAAAUGGAAUAUUACCAAGCCUACUACAAAGCAGGAUGCUCAACAACUCAUAUCUUUUGAGGAACAUUUUUAGACAUCAAAAAUUCAGAAGCGUACAAAUAGAGCCAAUAAAUCUGGAUACUGUAUUCUGAAUCACCCAAAAUUAGCUGAGCUAUUCACACCCAAAAGUAGGCAAAGAAAGGUAUAUUUCUGUAGUUAGACUUAUAGUUGCAUAAGCACCCUUGCAUGCGGUACGAUGUCAUCAUGACCGAAUCUAUGAAACUGAAAAGACAUUGUUGUGUACUAAUUUUGGCUCCUCGGAAGCUAGUACAAAAGAAGAGGAUCCAAUUGGAUAUUGUUCUUGUCUUCCUAGAAAAGAAAGGUAAAAAACUGAUUCAGAGCUGAUUGCAGGUAGGUAAAUAAUCUAUUCACCUUGAUUAACCCACGAGUUUAUAUACUUAUUCCUUGAUUUUAUCCUGUCUAGUAGGUUUGCAGUAGACGUUGGUAUAGGUUACU
rnacentral:lncRNA from 1 species